rnacentral:rRNA from 1 species
GUUCCAGCCGCCGCGGUAAUACGAAGGGGGCUAGCGUUGCUCGGAAUCACUGGGCGUAAAGCGCACGUAGGCGGACUCUUAAGUCGGGGGUGAAAUCCUGGAGCUCAACUCCAGAACUGCCUUCGAUACUGGGAGUCUUCGAGUUCGGGAGAGGUGAGUGGAACUGCGAGUGUAGAGGUGAAAUUCGUAGAUAUUCGCAAGAACACCAGUGGCGAAGGCGGCUCACUGGCCCGAUACUGACGCUGAGGUGCGAAAGCGUGGGGAGCAAACAGGAUUAGAAACCCCAGUAGUCC